rnacentral:SRP_RNA from 1 species
CGUACUAGACGGGGCGCUAGCGGUGCCCUGUACCCACAAUCCGCUUAGGUGGGGUCGAAUACCAAUCUCGAUAGACGUGCCAUUAGUUUUGUGGUAUGUGCCUAUCGUUGAACGCAUAGGUCUUGUGCAAUGUUAUACUGCGAACCGUGUCAGGGUCGGAAGACAGCAGCACUAAACAGAUUUUAGCAUGUGCCACAAGGAAGCCUAGCGGGAGAUAAGCAC